rnacentral:misc_RNA from 1 species
UCGUAACAAGGUUUCCGUAGGUGAACCUGCGGAAGGAUCAUUAAAUAAUCAAUAAUUUUGGCUUGUCCAUUAUUAUCUAUUUACUGUGAACUGUAUUAUUACUUGGCGCCUGAGGAAUGUUCCAUUGCUAUAAGGAUAGGCACUGGAAAUGUUAACCGAGCCAUAGUCAAGCUUAGGCUUGGUAUCCUAUUAUUAUUUACCAAAAGAAUUCAGAAUUAAUAUUGUAACAUAGACCUAAAAAAUCUAUAAAACAACUUUUAACAACGGAUCUCUUGGUUCUCGCAUCGAUGAAGAACGUAGCAAAGUGCGAUAACUAGUGUGAAUUGCAUAUUCAGUGAAUCAUCGAGUCUUUGAACGCAACUUGCGCUCAUUGGUAUUCCAAUGAGCACGCCUGUUUCAGUAUCAAAACAAACCCUCUAUCCAACAUUUUUGUUGAAUAGGAUGACUGAGAGUCUCUUGAUCAAUUCUGAUCUUGAAGCUCUUGAAAUAUACAAAGGCCUGAUCUUGUUUGAAUGCCUGAACUUUUUUUUAAUAUAAAGAGAAGCUCUUGCGGUAAACUGUGCUGGGGCCUCCCAAAUAACACAUCUUUAAAUUUGAUCUGAAAUCAGGUGGGACUACCCGCUGAACCUAAGCAUAUCA